GCCGAAGUGGCGGAAUUGGCAGACGCGCUGCGUUCAGGACGCAGUCCUCGUAAGGGGAUCGGGGUUCGAGUCCCCGCUUCGGCACCA
rnacentral:tRNA from 1 species